AAUCCUGAUGAUGCUGCAU
rnacentral:siRNA from 1 species